GCGUUCGUGGCGAAACGGCUAACGCAUCGGGUUGUGGCUCCGACAUUCGAGGGUUCAACUCCCUUCGAACGCCCCA
rnacentral:tRNA from 1 species